rnacentral:lncRNA from 1 species
GUCAGUAAGAGUGAGACCUUGUUGGGACAAGGAUAUGUAACAUGACUUGUGCUUUGGCGUUCUUUUGUGAUCAAAAAUUCCUUACUUUUAUUUAUUUAUCUACGGUAGGACCACCUAGAGCAGGGGCCCACAACUCCCAGGUCACAGACUGGUACCACUCCAUGGACUAUUAUGAACCACACCACACAGGAGGAGAUGAGACCAUCUAGUUGCAGAAAAAUAAGCUCAGAGUUUCCACGGAUUCUACAUUAUGAUUUGAUCUUCAACAAAGCUGACACUGGGGAAAGGACACACUCUUCAAUAAAUGGUGCUGGGAAAAUUGGAUAGCCACAUCCAGAAAAAUGAAACUGGACCACUAUCUCACUAUAUACAAGAAUCAACUCAAAGUAGAUUAAAAACUUAAACAGAAGACCUGAAACUAUAAAAAUACUUGAAGAAAACCUAGGGAAAAAUUUCCUGGCCUUUUGUCUAGGCAAAGAAUUUAUGACUAACACCUCAAAAGCCACAAGCAACACAAAUAAAAAUAGACAAAUGGGACUUAAUUAACUUAGAAAGCUUCUGAGCAGCAGAAGAAAUAAUCAGCAGAGUGAAGAGACAACCUCCUGAAUGGAAGAAAAUAUUUGCAAACUGUUCAUCUAAUAGUGGGCUAAUACCUAGAAUUUACCAAAAACCCAAACAACUCAACAGGAAAAAAAAAUUCCAUUGGAAAGUGGCCAAAGGAUAUAAAUAGACAUUUCUCAAAAGAAGACAUACAAAAGGCCAAAAGAUAUAUGAAAAAAUGCUCAACAUCACUAAUCAUUAUAUAAAUGCAAAUCAAAACCACGAUGAAAUAUUAUUUUCCCCUAGUCAUAAUGACUAUUCCUAAAAACAAAAACAAAAACAAAGCAAAACAAAAUAUAACAGAUUGAAAAAGGAACUCUUCUACACUGUUGGUGGGAAUGUAAACCAGUAUAGCAACUGUAGACAACAUUAUGGCGAUUCCUCACAAAAGUAAAAAUAGAAUCACCAUUGGAAACAGCAAUUUUACUACUGGGUAUUUGCUCAAAGGGGAAAAAAAUCAAUAUACCAAGGGGAUACCUGCACUCGCAUGUUUAUUGCAGUACUUUUCACAAUGCAAAGAUAUGAGACCAACCUAAGUGGGGUUUUGGGCUUAUGAAGGUGAUAGUAAAAAGACUCAGGGUUUGUGAAGUUGGUGAGGGAUUUUGCAAAGCUCUUCAAACUGCAUGCAGAACUGUUGACCAGUGAAGAUGGCAAGGUGGACGGCUCAGCAGCCAGGGAUGUGCUGGUGCGCAGGGGCAGUAGCAUGAUGUGCAGGUGUACCCAGCAAUGUUUGGGGUACUCAGGUCCCAAGUGGUGCUUGGAAGAGGUGAUGAAGCUCUGAAAUAAUUCCCGAGCAUGAUCUAUUAUCAAGCCAGUAACAUACAAAAUACAGAAUAUUUCAUGAUGAUAUCCUCCAAUAAAAAUCAUGAAAAAAUAAAACAGAAAACAAAACAAACCAACAAAAAAUGUGGUGUAUAUACACAAUGGAAUAUUAUUCACAGCCAUAAAAAAGAAUGAAAUAAUGUCAUUUGCAGCAACAUGGAUAAAACUGGUGUGAAAUAAACCAGGCACAAAAUGGUACUCACUUAGUGCUCAAGCCGGCGUGCAGUGGCAUGUUCUUGGCUCACUGUAGCCUCUGCCUCCGCCUCCCAGGUUCAAAGGAUUCCCCUGCCUUAGCCACCGGAGAAGCCGGUGUGGGAUUACAGGCCCUCACUGGGUGCCGGAGAUCCACUAGAAUACAAGAUCUGUUUCUGUGUCUUUGAGGGACAUGUAUCCAGCAAUUAGUUACAUCAGUCCCUUGUAGAUGUCAAUUCCAGUGUCACAAAUUUCUUGUUUUGCAACGUUGAGCAAGUUUUUUUCAAUGUUUCUAAGCCUCAGUUUUUUGCCCUACAAAAUGUGGUAAUAAUAUUUAACCAUUAGUAAUGUUGUGAAAAUUAAGCAAAAAUACAUGUAAUAUAUUUAACAAUGCUUGGUGUUCGUUAAUGCUUUAAUAUAUGCUAACUACUUAUAUUAUUGUUGUUGUUGUGUUAAACAUGCAUAAGACAGCAGGUACUAGAAUGGAAAUAAGGGUUCUUACUUGAAAUUAAAUGGCAGAAUUUCAUACUGUAAUAGGAUGUAUCAAUUUACCUGGUAUUAAUUAUUGUUAAAAUACUGGAUUUUUGUCAAUUAUUAUUAGUCUUUGACGCAUUUCUGUAGCUAGCAUUGUCCUUUGUAUGUGUUGGCCUUUGCAUAUUUUUCCAAAGAAGUAUUAUAUACUUUUGGGGUUUCUUAUUUUGAAUUGAAGAAUAUGCCAAGAUUGCAUAAAAGGAAAAAUAAUACACUAUGUUCAAUAGGUCAAUGUCUUGUUUUUUUUUCACAGCA